GACGGGGGGUCCAAGCGUUGUUCGGAAUCAUUGGGCGUAAAGCGUGUGCAGGCGGUCUGGAAAGUUGGAUGUGAAAGCCCCGGGCUUAACCCGGGAAGUGCAUUCAAAACUCCCAGACUUGAGUAAGGAAGAGGGUCGUGGAAUUCCAGGUGUAGUGGUGAAAUGGGCAGAUAUCUGGAGGAACACCAGUGGCGAAGGCGGCCGACUGGGCCGAUCCUGACGCUGAGACCCGAAAGCCAGGGUAGCGAACCGG
rnacentral:rRNA from 1 species